ensembl:lincRNA
GCUAAUGCUGACUCGUGUUCUGACUUUGAACCGUUCAUCAGAUCCCUACCUUGACACUCACUUAAGAGAAGAGUGAAGUUUCGGGGACUCCGCACCUCAAGGUAGUUCCACCGCGCGAGGUGCUGCAUUCGCAGUAUUACUCAUGCACCUUUCUGAUAAGAAAAGUGAAAACGCGAAGUUGAAAACUGAAGACGCCCAGCAACUUCCUGAAUCCAGCUCUCCACGUCCUGCCCUAUGGGACAGACAACUCCCAAAGAGGAAUCGUUGGUGGAAGUCCCAUGUUUCGUUGGCGUUGGAAGGGGGAACUGGUCAAGGCAGGGCUCAUCUCUGGACCCACACCCCAUAACCAACAUGGAAGCCUGGAUUUGGCCCUGGGUCAGGCUGGCUCCACAGGGAAGGGUCCAGUCUCUCCGGGGAGAUAUCCCGACUUCGGGUCCUGCUUUCUCUACUAUAAAUGGAGGCCAGCCAUGCCCCUCGGUGGGCCUCAGUUUCCUCACCUGUACAGUGGGGAAAUCCAUAGGACCUACGUUCUGGGAGGGCACUGAGGACCUGUCCAGUGCUCACGAUCAUGACAAGCACGGUGUGGAAUAAAUCCGGAAUAAAUGCUUACUGGGUGAGGGAGGACAGGGAAGAUUUCUAAAAUCCCCCUGACUUAAGAUCUGAUUCACCCAUUUAAAAAACCGUACUGGUAAAUAAUUUGAAAUGUAGAAGAAAGUUAUAAGGAAUCGCACAAAGAAUACUCCCAAACGUUUUGCCCAGAUUCACCUGUUUUCUGUGACAACUUUGAGAUAGAAUUCACACACCAUACAAUUGACCCAUCACAAGUAUACAAUUCAAUGGCCUUUCAUAGUCAGAGUUGUGCAACUGUCACCAGAGUCAAUUUUAGAACGUUUUCAUCACUCUCCUCCCACAAAAAAACCCUCACAUCCCUUGGCUGUCACUCUGCACCUAUUAAUAUUUUUUUAAGUGUUGAGACUUUUUUUUUUUUUUUUUUUGAGAUGGAGUCUCACUCUGUUGCCCAGGCUGGAGUGCAGUGGCAUAAUCUCGGCUCACAGCAACCUCCACCUCCUGGGUUCAAGCGAUUCUCCUGACUCAGCCUCCCGAGUAGCUGGGAUUAUAGGUGCCUGCCAUCAUGCCCAGCUAAUUUUUGUAUUUUUAGUAGAGACAGGGUGUCACCAUGUUGGUCAGGCUGGUCUCGAACUCCUGACCUCGUGAUCCACCCGCCUUGGCCUCCCAAAGUGCUGGGAUUACAGGCAUGAGCCACCGCACCCAGCAAAUGUGAAGACUUGUAUGCAUCUUCUUGACCUGUGGUCUUCGGCAUUUGAGUCUUAGGGGUCCUUUAAAAUAUUGAGAUAGGCCAGGCACAGCGGCUCAUGCCUGAAAUCGCACAACUUUAGGAGGCUGAGGUGAAAGGAUUGCUUGAGGCCAGGAGUUUGGGACCAGCCUGGGCAACAUAGUGAGACCUCCAUCUCAGCAAAAAAGUAAAAAUAAAAAAUAUUAGCCAGGCAUAGAGGUGAGCAUUUGUAGUUCUAGCUACCUGGGAGGCUGAGGCAGGAGGAUCCCUUGAGCCCAAGAGUUCAAGGAUCUAGUGAGCUAUGAUUGUGCCACUGCACUCCAGCCUGAGCGAUAGAGUGAGACCCUGUUUCUAAAAAAUAAAAUCCAUAUUAACAUACUGUGCAAAGACCUCAUAUUCAUUUAUUCAUUCAACAAAUGUUUGUUGAGCACCUG